rnacentral:lncRNA from 1 species
UCGCUCCAAGGCCCCCUUGUCUGCUCCGAAGCCGAGUCGCACCGCCGUCGAGCUCGCUCCAAGGCCUCCCCCAUCCACGCUGAGACCGAACCGCACCGCUGUCGAGCCCGAGGUCGCCCUACUCCUUGUCAGGCUCCUUUCAUGAUUCAUAAUCUCCGCUCACCAAGUGUUCGCUCAAUGUUCACAAUGAACCACGGAGUUAAUCCAGGCUGCUUCAAGGUGUUUAAUGCGCGAGCAGUAAAUGCGCCGACGAUUGGUGCCUACCAAUUGUUUGACGAAAUGCCCGCCAACUGUUCGACGGCGAUCCUGAGAGAGAGAGCGGUGCUCUCCUCUCAAACGGAUUCCGCCCGCCACAUGCUUGAUGUGCCCGGAGUCCGCCCACCAGCUGUUCGACGGCGAUCCUGAGAGAGAGAGCGGUGCUCUCCUCUCAAACGGAUUCCGCCCGCCAAAUGCUUGAUGUGCCCGGAGUCCGCCCACCAACUGUUCGACGGCGAUCCUGAGAGAGAGAGCGGUGCUCUCCUCUCAAACGGAUUCCGCCCGCCAAGUGCUCGAUGUGCCCGGAGUCCGCCCACCAACCGCUCGACGGUGAAUCUGAGAGAGAGAGCGGUGCUCUCCUCUCAAACAACGGCAAAUUUGAGAGAAAGAGAGAAAGAUAGUACUUCUCUAAUCAUGAUUAUGAAAGAGAGAGUGAGCUUUGUAAAAAAAAAAAUAGGGAGGCAAAGGAGGGAUCUUCCCACCUUAGUUGUCCCCAAGAUGUAAAAAAAUGAUGAUGAAUGAUGAAUGAUGCAUCUCUUUUUUAGAGACAGAGAAAAUAUAUUCUCUUAAUUCUCUUUCAGUAGAGAAAUAAAAGAAAAUUAAUUAGGUUUCUGAUUAAUAUUCUUUUGAUAAUCAAACUGUUCAAUUUGAUUGAAUUAGAUCAAAUUGGUUGGAAAUCGUAUACGAUUGGGGAAUUGACAAACUUGGAUGAACUUGAUACCGAAAUAUUUUGAUCUCAUAUAGACUCGAAACCAAAUUCGAAUCCAAAUUCGACUCGAAUCCAAAUCAAAUUCGGAUCCAAAUUCGACUCGAAUCCGAACCCAGAUUUGAAUCCGAACCAAAUUCUAGUUCGAACCCAAAUUCGACUCAAAUUUAGAUCCAAACCCAAUCUAAACCCAAAAUCAAAUUCCAAAUUCAAAUUC